rnacentral:lncRNA from 1 species
GAGAAGACACAGCACGUACUGAUCUUACCGGACUGUCAAUGCCCAAUUAGCAAUCCUAUGAUCAGGAACGUUUAGGAUGUGUCUACGAAAGAAUGGUCUCAUGAAUCUAACUUCUUUAGAUUGCAUUCUCCCAAUCACAUAUUCCUUGGACUUAUCGUUUAAGCGUAUAACAUUUAUAUGAGACGGCUCAAACAAUAAUUUUUGCCCUUGAUAUUAAACUAGAUUAGUUUAACAUGUGAAAUGUCCGUAAAGUAUCAUCAUAUGAUUGGUUUUAGGGCACAUUUCCAACAAUCUCCCACUUGCACUAGAGCCAAUCAGCUUGGUCAUCAGUGAUGAUACCUCUUCUGUAGUCAUUUCAUAAAUGGCUGAGUAGUAGGCUUAAAGAAUGGAUAUCUAUAUGUUAUCCAUAGAAGCAACCUUGAGAAUAACGACGUCACCAUUAUACAUGAUUCUUAAUCAUGUGGUUCAGUCUCUUAUUUGAGUUUGGAUCUUGAUGAGACCUUGAUUCCCUGGCUUGAGCUAUCGCCCCAUUAGUGUCGUAUGCAUAAAGGAUUCUAUUUACGCAUUAUUUCUUUGGGAGUCAAAGGGUACGUUCCCUUUGAGAAGGGCAACUUGCUAGUCUCACUAGAGUCGUCCUUCUAAUUGAAGUUUAUCAUCAUAUGAGAAACUUCCUAGCAUCUCUUGUUUAUUAU